AAUUUAUUUCCGUAAUGAAAACAUUUUGCUUUGAGCAAGUUUUCAGUACAGUUUUUUUCGGCGCUAUCACUCCUGAGUCGCACCAGCCAUUAAAUGUAUCAUUAAUAAGAGAAAAUAUAUUUAAGUCGUAUUUUGGGGGGACAUUUUAUUAUCUUUCUUACAAAAUCUGAGACCAAGCGUUUCACAUAGCAACACAAGCACCGGUAACCAUAACAGAAUGAACAACAGCCAGCAGAGGAGAGGAUGGCGGUGUUUCAAACCCUCCCGGCCGGCGAGGACAGCUCAUUCCUGGGCUGGAGCCGGCCCUCAGCACCCCGCCACAGGCUCUAACAGAUGCUGGCGGUGUUUGAAACCCUCCCAGCGGGACAGGGGAACUCAUUCUUGUGUGGGUCGGAGUCGGCCCGCAGCAGCGCGGUGUAGCCUACAUAUUUUGUUAUAUAAGUCGCUCCGGAGUAUAAGUAGCAGGACCAGCCAGAAUAUGUAAAAAAGUGCGAGUUAUAGUCCGGAAAAUAUUGCAGUUAUUAGUAUUCGAGCUAAAUUAGCAGCGUAAAUACAUUUCAUAUAUUUCCAAAAUGUGAUACUUGUUUGUAUCUUGUACAGCCAACUAGUCUUUAUUCUGGACUCAGUACAAUUUACCAAAAGUAAAGAGACAUUCUACAGAUGAAGUAAGCACAAGAUAACUUACUGGAAGACACGGAAUUAUCAUCAGAACCAGAACAAGAGAGCCUGAUAACAGUCGUGAAAAUAACAGUUAAAAAGUAUGUAUGUAUAAUAGAAAUAAAAACAUAUUUUAAAUUAGUGUAACUCACUGUGAUCCAAACAAUAAAUCAGCCAUAGCUGAUUAGUAAAUAUGACAUGAGGUCUGGGAGUUUUUAAUUUUCAUUUUUAUUUUUUUGUUAGAUCUGUUUAAAUGUCACCAUGGCAGCCUGUGUGUCUCCAACAUCAGCUACACAAAGCAAGUCCAUUUGGAUCAUUGGAGACAGCUGAGUGAGGCGUGGUGCCCAGAGAGCUGCAGAGACAACCUUGGCCUCCCUGACGUCUGUGUCUCCUGGUUCGGUUGGGGCGGACCAUCGACAUACAUACAUGUGCCGACACUUUGCGCCCUGUUUUAUAAACUGUAGUGUUAAAAAUAAAUGUUUUUGCUCAAUUACUGGAAUUUCUUUGGUUAAGACAAAAGUGAGGAAUAAUCAUUUACAAGUUAUUUGUACAACAGGCCCAUUUUAAAUCCCAACAGUUUCUUAGCAGACAAUAGAAAUGUGUUCUUAACUAACUUUACUUGGUUUAAAAAUCUUACUAAAAUAAACUUGAGUGCCGUAUUGCAAAACCCAAUCAUACUUGUUAUGUAAAUAUUAGCUUUGUAGAUAUUUUUUACAGAUAUAUAUUUGUGUGCAACAAAAACCAAACUUAAAUAGUUUGUCAUUCUUUAUUGAAAAACAACAAAAUACAGUUAUACAGAAGUGUGGGAAAAUGAUAAUGUGAAAGUAUUGCUAUUUAAAUGUAAUCCUAUUUAUCUUUAAAAAGAAAAACUCUAAAAAUGUCCUGUACAGCAUCAUGACAGAAGAAUGGUGGUCUGUCUGUCAGAAUGUGCUGAACAGAUUUGCUCUUUGAGGAGGAGUGUCAUGUUUGGAGGAAGGUACUUAACCCAAGACAUGCAGAAUACAACACUGACCAAAAACUGAUGGAAAAAAUGAUUUAUUUAUAAGGAGGAACUUAAGGUGCACAGAUAAGUCUGUGGUUGGAACUGCAACAACAGCUCAGCAUCUGGAGGAGGGAGAACACAGGUGAGCUUAGGUUCUGGUUUCAAAAUCCAUUGUAUGCAGGCAGAGGUGUUCAGCAGACUUACUGUGGUGGGUGUAUGUGUUGGCUGGAGGAGGGAGAGGUAGAGAGCCGGGGGAAGCGCAGGAGAGGGAGCAGAGGUGGAGAGAAGCGGGGCGUCCUGGUGGAUGGGGCACUGGGUGAGAUGAGAGGUGGGUUAUGGAGGGUGGUGAUAAGGUCCGUGUGUUGAAUAUCCAAAUCCUGGAGUAGAGGUCAGUAUCCAAUGAGGUCGACAGGAAUCCUGAAGAAUGGUAAAUCCAAUAUAAGAGCAAAAACACUACGAAAUAACAUUAAUCCUAGGAACACUAGAGGUAACACGAGUGGCUGGUUACUACCAAAACUGAGGCAAUCUUCUGGCGUCAAAUUGUGUCCUCCAUCCACCUUAAAUAGGAAAGCACCCCGCUGAUCGCUGAUCAGGAACGGCUGGGGUGGAGUCACCAGAACCAUGAAGAACGUGUCUCCAGAGACAACUCGGGUCCUGGUACCGAUCAGGAAUGCGGACCUUAUCACCCAGAGCUGCCAGGUCACGCUCAAAGCCUUCAUGUUCACGCUGCAGAGCCUGAACGCUGGCCAGGUGGUGGCCGUAGUUGUCUGUGUUCAGGGCCUGGUUCUUCUCCUCGAUCCACUCUUUGGUCUCAUCAGCGUCUCUGAGAAGACAUCAGAACUCCGUCUGAGUGUGGGUCCAAACUCUACUGACCCGUAAGCGGCGCAUAAGUGUGCGGGGUACCUGUGGAAGCGCUACACCUCAUGGGCGCUGCCCAGCAUGUUGCAGCGAGCGCCAGCGGUUGUUCAGCUCCUGGAGAGAAACCAAACCCAGUGAGAUGAAGGUGGACGCCAGCGGGCUGGACGCCGGACGAGGAAACCUGGAGACGGAUCGCUCAGACAGGAAGGGAAGAGCUUCCUCUUACCUUGAUGGAAUUAAAGUUAGCCGUCGUCUGAACGCCCAACCGUACGGUCUGAGGUCAAAGGUCACAGGAAACACACACCAGUCAGCAGUCAUACAGAUGCAUAAAGAUAACUGUAGCCAUGGCAACCAGCUGACAUGUCCCCACUUUCACCAGCACCUGGUGCCUGCCGGGUCACCUGAAUUCCUGUGUGAUGUCAGCACGGUCGGCCGUGACUGCGGCCAUCAGAGGUGACCUCUGAUCAGCUGAAUGAACUCACCUUCUAGGGUGACGCCGUGUUACCCCGGGUUUCCACGGGAGCCGUCAGCAGCACGUUACUGCAGCAGCACGUCUUGCUCGCGUAAGCUGCUGCUUGGCCCUUCCCACGAGACGCGAAGCAGCAGGGGAGCAGCUGUCACCGACCGAGCACGAAGUCACUCGAGUGACUUCGUCAGUAAACACAACAACAAGCAGGAGAAAACUACAACAUGGUUUGUGUUUUAUGUUCUGUCCGUUUUAUAAUCGCCAAUACGGACCUGAAAAACAAAGGAGACCGCUAGCUAGGUGAUAACUUCUCACGGGGCCGCUCAGUUAGUAACCUUUUUUAAAAGUAAAGCAACCGGAAGGCAGUACGUUCUUUAUUCUGAAAAUCUCGGUAGCUUCUCUCAAUUUCCGCGUCCGAUUUCCUGUCUUUCCUUCCCCAAAAAUGUCGAACUUGACCCGUUUCAGAGGCGUCGCGCGUAGAAAAUAGAACCGGCGCGUAAAGGCCGCGACAUGCUGCUCCUGAGACGUGGCCGACUCGCGCUGCUGACGGCUCCGGUGGAAAAGGUUCUGUUGACCACAGCGGUUCCUAUCAGCAGCUAUGACGUGCUGCUGCAGUAAACGUGCUGCUGACGACUCCUGUGGAAAGCCGGGGUUAGAGUCGGCUUCAUCCUGUAAACAAACAAAUGAGUGGUAACAAAAACACCACGUCUGGUUCUGGUGGAGGCGGAGGACAACACGCACCUUUCCAGGAGCAGAACCCAGAUGUUCUUGUUGCUACAAACAGAGAUGAGCAGAGUUAACAAACCAGGAAGUGAGAGGGACCAGCUGCUGCAGACAGGUGACGCUCACCUGAGCCUGAACCAUAGGAGCCUCCUCAGCCAUCAGACCUUCUGACUCCAGUUCAGAUGCCACCUUGUUGAUGUCCCUCAGGCGGGACUCGUUGGCCUUCAGGUCCUGCAGGACAAAAGCACCUGCUGAUUAUCACCUGAGCUGAUCUGACAGCUGCUGCUGGAAGACAGAGAGGAGGAAAAGUCCGACCUUCUGGAAGUCGUCAAACUUCUUCUGCAAGACCUCGACCUGCUCCAGGUCCGACCCGUCUCUCCAUCCUCAUUCAGCUAAAGACGCGAGUUCAAGUAAAACAACCUAAAGUCACACAAACACAAAGCAGGUGUGGAGAUGUUCGCUCUGAGCUGGAGGUCGUUCCUCGGCUGUGAAGGGCACACGGACCUUGUUGGUGCUGUUGAGCAGCGUGAGGAUGUCGCCCUUCUUCAUGGUGACCUCUCCAGGACUCUUCUCCUGGUAGUCGUACAGAGCCAGAACCAGCUCCUUCCCGGUCUCAUCGUCAGUUGGAGCCACUUGUUGCUGUCGGGUUAACAGGUCUGGUGUUAGAACGUGGUGGAUAAGAAUGUUCUGACGGGCCGAGGGUUCUGAACCAGCGAAGUGACCUGGACCCAAACAAAGUGAGCCAGAACCUGCAGACACCUCAGAAACAUGUCAGGACCAGACCUGCUCUACCUUCCUCCAUUAUGGUCUCUCCUUUCUGGGUGACAGCCUUGAUGCGAGGUUCAUGACCUGUGAUCUCAGCCUGCAGAGCCUCGUGCUUCUUCAGCAGGUUCUGGACACCAAUCAGGUCCUUCCC